CAGCAGCCGCGGUAAUACGUAGGUGGCAAGCGUUGUCCGGAAUUAUUGGGCGUAAAGCGCGCGCAGGCGGUUUCUUAAGUCUGAUGUGAAAGCCCCCGGCUCAACCGGGGAGGGUCAUUGGAAACUGGGAAACUUGAGUGCAGAAGAGGAGAGUGGAAUUCCACGUGUAGCGGUGAAAUGCGUAGAGAUGUGGAGGAACACCAGUGGCGAAGGCGACUCUCUGGUCUGUAACUGACGCUGAGGAGCGAAAGCGUGGGGAGCGAACAGGAUUAGAGACCCCUGUAGUCCCUGUCUCUUAUAC
rnacentral:rRNA from 1 species